rnacentral:tRNA from 1 species
UAGCCUAGUGGUUAAGGCUAUGGAUCGCCAAUCCGGAGACAGCGAGUUCGAUUCUCGU